UGACGAGUUAAUGGCAUAUCCCCACCACUGAUCUCACUUACCUGGCCAACAUGGUGAGUUAGGUUUUGAUUAGAUCACUUGAUGAUUAGGGCUCACCCAUGUCAUUAGGUAAAUCAGUGUGACUGAUUUAGGUGCUCCUAAUGCCGGCUUUAAUUAAAUUCUUUUUACUCUGACUUGGUGAAGUCAGUGGGAGGAUUGAAAUUGGCUGGUU
rnacentral:lncRNA from 1 species